AUGUUUGGCACAUGGAUAACGUCGACAGUUAAUUAAUAAACAAGAACAAAUAUUCCUUUUAAGGACGUACAACGGCGAGUGCAGAAACGAAUGAGAUAAUCAAGUGUACAUUUCUCUCACUCGUUCGGAAAGAUACGUGAAGCCUAGAAAUGGCGCGAAGAACUACACCUUUCUACACUCACAAAGGACUUGAUUAAUAAACGUCACCCUACGGAGCGAUGACGCCGCACAAAGAAAUAAAACCAAAUCUUAAAAUAAAGGAACGGAUUGUGAAACAGGGACGAUAAGAGAAGCGCAAAUUAAAUAGAACAAGACAUAAUAUUAUAAUAUAAGAUAUUUGUACAUUUCUGCAUAUAUUUGGAUUCUCUUCAACAGUCAAAAAUGCAUGGCAAAGAUAAUGGUGUCAUUGACCUAGGAUAUGAGGGAGAUGAAGGGAGAAGGGAGAAGGGAGAAGGUUGAUCUAGGUCCGGAGAUUAUUGACCUGGGUAAGGGGAUAUUGACCUAGGCUACAAGGUAUCAUUAAUCAGAAGGAUAGAAUAGAAUAUAGGCAAGAAUAUAUGGAAUGUAUUCAGCAGAAGUUGUGUUCCGAUUUAUAUUUAGGAUAUCGAUUGUGUAACUUUUUCUCUAGGAAUGUGAAAAGUGAAAAGUGAAUGUGAAAAGUGAAAAUUUUUACUAUUAAAGAAAAUAGAAAAUGUAAUUUUUUCCAUUCUAGAUAAAAAGUUACGUGAUUUAAAACUGUUUUCGAAUGAAUUAUUCGUAACUUAGUUUAUGCGAUGAUAAUAUUGUAAUUAAGGAGAGAGAGAGAGAGAGA